CCCCUAUCAGGGUUGCACCUGGAGCGUUUCCAAUACUCUACCAGUCUCAACUAUGAAAGGGAGAAGGAAGCAGUGGCGUAUCCAUUCCAUUCCUAGCUUGGGCAGUGGCUAGCGAUUGGAAGACUAUCUGCUACAAGU